AGAUCGUCAAACUUCAGGGGGGAGUAUCACAAGCUCUCCCGACUUUUCUUUUUUGCAGGUAUUAUUCUGUCGCUUUGGCCAGAAUGUUUUCUUUUUUGCAGAUGUUAUUCUGUCGCUUCGGCCAGAAUCAGACUCCAAUAGUGAGUCAAUCUAUCUUGUCGCUUUUGCCUUGAUAGACUAGAGAUCGUUCUGUCGCUUUGGCCUUAACGAUCUCAACCCAUCUUGUCGCUUUAAGCCUUGAAGGGGGCCGUCGUUGCGGACUUUAAAUGGACUAUAAACAUUAGUUCUAUCGCUUCGGCUAGAACUCGGUUCUAUCGCUCUGGCUAGAACCCGAUUCUGUCGCUCUGGCCUGAAUCAGAUUCCGUCGCUUCGGCCGGAAUUAAUCUUGUCGCUUCGGUCUUGAUAAACACAGUGCAGUCGCCCUUGAUCAGGGAAGGACUAUAAACAGAGUUUCCGUUGGCCUAGAACUCGAUUCUGUCGCUUUGGCCAGAAUCAAUCCAUUCUUGACGCAUAGGCCUUAAUGGAUUCCGAAUCAGUACGUCACUGUGGGCGGAAUGAUUCGAUCUCAUCUUGUCGUUUCGGCCUUGGUGCGGAUCACACACACUGAACCUUGGUUGGGGGGGGUACUGGCGAUACACGCAUGUUUCUUGUGCUCUCUUCAGGGGGGAGUACUGGUGAGACAUGCCUGAUUACGGCAGUCACUCCCAGCAACGCCUUUCAACAAGGACUAGGGUUCCGUCGCUUUGGUCGGACCCCCGGAGAGCUCCCACAGUGCGGAACACGUUCAUCGUCCAGAUCGCCGAGUUAGCUCGUAAGUCGCCCGAUUGGACUACCAAGUCACCGACAUAAAGGAUAAGUCGCCGAGUUAAGGCCAAGAUCGAUAGUGUGGUAGACUGCACAUCUUGCCCCUAGAAACUCGGUGAGUUAGCCCUAACUAGGCGACUUCCAUACCUGAAUCGCCGACUUACGACCGUUACUCGCCGCCAG
rnacentral:lncRNA from 1 species